CCUCUGAGAAAGGCUGAAUAUAAGAUGGCUGUCAAAUACCCACCCACCCAUUAGCUGACGUGCUUUGGCUUGUGUUCAAUUAAAUCAAUCAUGCCCAAGGCCUAUAAAUACUAUGUUUACUACAACAGAUGAGGUGGAACCAUGGACUCAAAAGGACCUAAUUUCACUGUUGCAGAAACCCAUGCACUGCUGGAGGGUGUUAAGUGCCAUUAUGCCUCAAUAGUAGGAAGCUCUGUUGCGGGUGGAAUGGUGACUAACAAAAGGAAGAAAGACAUUUGGGUUGAAAUCACCCAGAAUGUGAAUGCAAUGGGGUCUGGCCAGAAGAGGACCUUGGAGCAAGUGAAAUUUAGAUGGAAGAAUCUGAGGGCCAGAGCAACAAAGGACCUUGCUGAAGCAAAAAACACCCAAACAGGCAACAAACCCUUCAAGAAAGGUGAAUACACAGAUGUGGUUCUGGACAUUAUUGGAGGUGAGAACUCUAAAGCUCUGCACGGGAUUCAAGGUGUUGUAGGGGAUGGUGAGCCUAUGAUUGUAGAGGAAAGUGAGCCAGUUCCUCCUAAUGCAGAGGAUCUCAGCCCUAUUAUUGAAGAACAACCUGGAUCCUCACUGGUAGAGCCAGCAGUCACAGGAGCUCAGAAAAGAGCCUUGAAGCGUCCUUUGCCAAAUAAUAAUGAUGAUGCCUAUGAAUCACUUCUUAAACGAGAAACUGAAAGAGCAGAAGCACAGAUACUCCUGGCAGAGGAACAAAUCAAGCUGACCAAACUGCAGCAAACCAAAGUGAAACUUCAGAUCCACCUCCUAAAAGCAGGGCUUGAAAAUGCUGGUCUCUCCUCCGAAGAUGAAGAAGAACCCUGAACAUUCUUUAUUUUAUUAACUAUUAACUAUUGGAGCCUUUUUUUUAGUUUAAGAUGUUUUCAAAAUAUCCACAAUGUAUUUGUUAAUGUAUAUUUGUUUUUUAUUUGUUGUUGCUCAGAUGAGGGGUCAUAAAAGAAAUUAUGAAUGGAAGUGGAUGUUUGUUAUUUUUGUGUUUUGUCUCAAAAUGAGAAACACAGUGACCCCAUGUUGGC
rnacentral:lncRNA from 15 species